GGCUCAGGAUAAACGCUGGCGGCGUGCCUUAUGCAUGCAAGUCGAACGGGUCACCUUCGGGUGGCUAGUGGCAAACGGGUGAGUAACGCGUAAGUAACCUGCCGUUUCGUGGGGAAUAACUGCUCGAAAGAGCGGCUAAUACCGCAUACGCUCCUAGGCGUAAGGUUUAGGAGGAAAGCCGCAAGGCGCGGAACGAGGGGCUUGCGUCCGAUUAGCUAGUUGGUGGGGUAACGGCCUACCAAGGCGAUGAUCGGUAGCUGGUCUGAGAGGAUGAUCAGCCACACUGGGACUGAGAUACGGCCCAGACUCCUACGGGAGGCAGCAGCAAGGAAUUUUGGGCAAUGGGGGCAACCCUGACCCAGCAACGCCGCGUGGACGAUGAAGGCUUUCGGGUCGUAAAGUCCUUUUGUGGGGGACGAUAAUGACGGUACCCCACGAAAAAGCCCCGGCUAACUACGUGCCAGCAGCCGCGGUAAUACGUAGGGGGCGAGCGUUGUCCGGAUUUAUUGGGCGUAAAGAGCGCGUAGGCGGUGCGUUAAGUCCGCGGUGAAAUCUCCCGGCUCAACUGGGAGGGUGCCGAGGAUACUGGCGUGCUGGAGGACGGCAGAGGAAGGUGGAAUUCCCGGUGUAGUGGUGAAAUGCGUAGAGAUCGGGAGGAACACCAGUGGCGAAAGCGGCCUUCUGGGCCGGUCCUGACGCUGAGGCGCGAAAGCGUGGGGAGCGAACCGGAUUAGAUACCCGGGUAGUCCACGCCCUAAACGAUGGACACUAGGUGUGGGGGGUAUCGACCCCCUCUGCGCCGAAGCUAACGCAUUAAGUGUCCCGCCUGGGGAGUACGGCCGCAAGGCUUAAACUCAAAG
rnacentral:rRNA from 1 species